CCUACGGGUGGCAGCAGUGAGGAAUAUUGGUCAAUGGCCGGAAGGCUGAACCAGCCAAGCCGCGUGAAGGACGAAGGUGCCCAGCAUUGUAAACUUCUUUUGUCAAGGGACAAAAUCAGGCUCGAGAGCCUGACCGAGGGUACUUGAAGAAAAAGCAUCGGCUAACUCCGUGCCAGCAGCCGCGGUAAUACGGAGGAUGCGAGCGUUAUCCGGAUUUACUGGGUGUAAAGGGCGUGUAGGCGGGACUGCAAGUCAGAUGUGAAAACCACGGGCUCAACCUGUGGCCUGCAUUUGAAACUGUAGUUCUUGAGUACUGGAGAGGCAGACGGAAUUCCUAGUGUAGCGGUGAAAUGCGUAGAAAUUAGGAGGAACACCAGUGGCGAAGGCGGUCUGCUGGACAGCAACUGACGCUGAGGCGCGAAAGCGUGGGGAGCAAACAGGAUUAGAUACCCGGGUAGUC
rnacentral:rRNA from 1 species